GCAUCUCUGGGAACUCUUCACCUCCAUGCACUGCACAGGUUUAGUGACAUCUGUCCUUCAUCUGUGGCUAUAAAACUUGGUCCAGGGAAGUUUUCCUCCCUAUCCUCAAGCUCCAGCCAGGUUGCAGCGUGUGUGAGGGUGGUAAAUCUUCUGUCCACACCAGUGUUCACCUCUCCCCUUCCCAAGUUUGCCCAGUCCCUAGGUGGUGACCAUCGUCAGUAGUUAGUCCACCUCGCCGUGACCAGGUAACUUUCAAAGUUUCCUUAGCCGAGCUAUACAUGUUUUGUGCUCUACAUCAGAUAGUGAAGCUCAUAUGAUGAUGAACAAAUCUCCUUAAGACAGUCUUGUUGGAUGCUAUAUGAAAAUUGGAGUAACAGCUGCUCAAAUCUAGACUGUCUGGCGGCUGAAACUGAAUUGUAUUCAGUCCACUGUGAACUGAAAUUCAGCACAAGGGUGUCUAGUUUGGAGCCCUAUGGUAAUUAGUGCAAGGCAAUUUGGGUUAGGAAUUCUUUAGCAAACUGAAAGGACAUAUAUAGGAGAACAAAUUCCCUAAAGAGGGUUGGACUUGGUGCUACACAAAAAGAGGAGUUAAAGUGGCUCCAAGUUGUGCUGUCCGACUGGAGAUAUGUAAAUUUAGUUAACUGUUGCUGGCAGUUUGAGUUAGUUUUUACCCAACUUUGGAGCCUUGUGGUAAUUACUCCAAGGGGAAAUGGGUUAGGGAUUCCACAUCCAGAUAAAAGACCACAUCAAGGACAACAAGUUUCAUUCAAGGAAUGGGCUUGCUACUGUAUAAGUUGGCAGUAAAAAGGUGUCCCAAACUUCUCUGCCAGAGUGGGUGCAGUGCUGUUUCAGUUCACUGAAACUGAACUUUUUUGUGAUUUUGCUCUAUUUUGUGGCAUCAUAACUUUUGAUUAGUAUGGUUUCAGUCUGAGGAUGCUAUGCCAAAGUAGUAGAGCUAUGUCUAGAGAAUAACUUGGAGUAAAUGAGUUGUGUUUGUUGUUGAGGGAAUUUGUGAGUUACAAAGCACUGAACAGAGAGAGAGGAAUGGAGCACUAAAAGAUGAAUUCAGAGAACUGAAAAUAGGUUCAAUGAAUUGUGGCUGAUUCUUGGACACUAUAAAUUGUAGUACAUGCAGUUUGGAUCCUUGCUUAAUGCAUAAAUAAAGUACUUGAUUGGUUAUGGAGGCAAGGUUUCCUAGUUUGGUUGGUGAAUUGAGUUGUGAUAUUAGAGUAUUUAGCUCUCUUAAGGUUUUGUUAGUUUUUGUAUGCACCUUUAGAGAGGUGUAAGUCCUGUGAUGCUUCUUAGUAUUUUCUUUUCAAGUUGCAUAAGCAUAAACAUCCAUGAUCAUGUUAUUUCAUAUAGAACUCCCAGCACAAGGACUGAAGAUUCAAGCUGAAGUGGUGACUGAAGAGGAAUCUACUCCAGUGGCUGCUGAUCAAGUGGAGGAGCCAUCUAACUGGGUAGCUUGUAGAGGGAUCUAGACCUCUUCACUGCAACAAAGGCAAGCCCCGGUGCAUGCAACCCCUUCCUUGUGUUUUUAAAUAAUUUUUGCACACUUUAAGUCUAGUGAAAUGUGCAUUAGGUUUAUAGGAGUUGCUUGAAACCCUUUGAUGCAUUGCCUUCCUUGAUAUCCAUACCUUUAUAGAUACUUCUGGUGAAGUAUCAAAAUAUGAUUUUCAAAAAUGCUUAGCCCUGCUUAGAUCUUGUGGAUAGAGGUUGUCUUUUGCAAUACUGCCUAGCUCAGGGGUUAUCCUGAGGAAAGAUGACUUCUACCUGCAAGAAUAUUUUCAUUGAGAGCGUGGUGGGAUCUUACUACAAAGUUCCCUUUGAUGCUCUUUUCAUCCUAGGAACAUAAACAAUCCUAAGGAUGAAAGUACUUAAAUCGGGACUUGGGCUAGGAAUAGGUGAUGUUCUACCCAGGUUAGCUAAGGAUUGGAUGCGUAUGUAGGCCUGUUGAUCAAGGACUAUCUUAACUAGCCACAUGCCCUGGAAAUGGGACAGGGUAAGCUUGAACCCGGCUAUUCCAUACAUGAAAAGACAAUCGCGCACUGGGAGUGGAGAGAUGGCGAGAGUGGCACGUACCCUCCUGGCAAAGGAUCGCCUAAAAGGGGUGGUGUGCUCUCGGGUGGCGUGGACCUGUUCAUGUAGUGGAGGAUCCGUGGGAACGGUUGACAUAUGCAAGGGUUAAGUGCUACAUAUGUCGUGUGGUUAGAGAUCCUCAGCUGAGUAAAUCGAUUCGGAUCGCCGUUAUAUCCCCGGAGAGUGGAGACUUGAUCUCCGACCUACAACCUAAGUCAGGAUGUAAACAUUAUGAAUAAAAAUGAUGUUGUAUUGAUGAGAUGGUGAAAUUAGACCAGAUGCAAAUAGAGUCUAUUAAUAUUUAAUCUGGCGUUAAAAUAUUGAAAGUAAGGACUCACUUUAGUAAGCUAUUUCUGCAAAAGUAUCUAAGUUGAUUCUUGCUAAAGCCUCUCCUUGAUUCCCAAAUCCAGCAUAUCCUUGAGAGUCUUUUCUUUAGUCGGGUAAGUCUUGCUGAGUAAUUCCAUACUCAGGGUUUUAUUCCCUGUUGUUUUUCAGGUUAUAGUUUUGUGCUGCUGUUGAUGGUGUUAAGUGCCGGUGGGCUCGGCCUUCUUAUAUAAGUAUACCCCAUCUUUAUCUUCUUAUUGAGGAUGGUCACUUGAGCUAGCAUAUAUUUUAAACUUAUAAAUAAUUUAUAACAGUUUAAAGUUAUUUCUUUGAAUCACCUUUGUAAUCACCCCGGUCAUGUACAAUGUAAAAUUUUUGUAACCUGUAAAAUUUGGUACUAAGAUUUCCGCUGCAAAAAUGUUGUGUGUGUGAUUUGUGUUACUUAAUCCCGCGGUUCUAGUUGUAAGUGGUUUAUCCGAGGUCCUUGGGGCACUCAGACGGAUCCUGUUAAGUUAUUUGGUGCACAUGCAUAGCCGUCUGAGGUCUUUGAGACAAGGACAGGUGCAUGUGGGCCCAAUAGCUUGGGAGGUUCUGCCACAGGUACCGGGGUCCUCGGUCACUUGCUCGUCUACUCGCAACAAUACAAACAAACAUGGUAUAGAAGAAAUUAACAUCACACCAAAUAGAGGAAUAUAAUGUAUGAUAAUAU
rnacentral:lncRNA from 1 species